CGCGGGAUAGAGCAGCUUGGUAGCUCGUCGGGCUCAUAACCCGAAGGUCGUUGGUUCAAAUCCGGCUCCCGCUA
rnacentral:tRNA from 1 species